rnacentral:lncRNA from 1 species
UCAUGCAACUCAUAAGGGAUCGAUUUUUCAUACCAUAUUUAAUUUACCUAUUAUUUAUUCAUUUUAAUGCAGAGAUGGGUAUAAUGUGAAUGGCUAUAUCAUGCUUAAGUUUAAUUCAACUAUUAAGUGAUUUACAUUUUUUCCAAGGUGUCCAUCCAAAGAAAAGAAGUGAGUAACUGAACUAAAUAUGAUGAUUAUGCUUGUGAGUUGUAACUUAAAUAAAUGUUGUUUUUGUUUUGUUUUUCGUUAUGUCUAAUUGUUUAUGCAGGGUGGAUUUAUCCGUCGGAAUUUAUUCAAAAUUCUAAAACACGNN